AUUGAACGCUGGCGGAAGGCCUAACACAUACAAGUCGAACGAGUGGCGGACGGGUGAGUACUGCAUGGGAAUCUGCCCUGUCGAGGGGGAUAACUAAUGGCAACUGAGGCUAAUACCGCAUCCUAUCGGAUGAACCGAUAUUGGAUUAGCUAGUUGGCGGGGUAAAGGCUCACCAAGGCGACGAUCCAUAGCUGGUCUGAGAGGAUGAUCAGCCACAAUGGGACUGAGAAACGGCCCAGACUCCUACGGGAGGCAGAAGUUGGGAAUGUUGGACAAUGGGCGAAAGCCUGAGCGAGCCAUACCGCGUGGGUGAAGAAGGUCUUCGGAUUGUAAAGCUCUGUUGUUGGGAAAGCGGUAUCUAAACAAUAAGCACCGGCUAACUACGUGCCAGCAGCCGCGGUAAUAC
rnacentral:rRNA from 1 species